rnacentral:tRNA from 1 species
UACAAAGAAACCCUGAACUUUUAAUUCACUUAAGCUUUAUAUAAAAGCCUUUGUAA